CGGGUAACCUGCCCAAGAGAUCGGGAUAACACCUGGAAACAGAUGCUAAUACUGGAUAACAACAGAUGAUGCCUAUCAACUGUUUAAAAGAUGGUUCUGCUAUCACUCUUGGAUGGACCUGCGGUGCAUUAGCUAGUUGGUAGGGUAACGGCCUACCAAGGCGAUGAUGCAUAGCCGAGUUGAGAGACUGAUCGGCCACAUUGGGACUGAGACACGGCCCAAACUCCUACGGGAGGCAGCAGUA
rnacentral:rRNA from 1 species